UCAUCAUGCGCUGGUCCACUACAGAGAUACUCUUCAAUGCAAGGUUUUGCAUCAGCUGCUUGGGCUACAGAAAUGGAUAAAACCUAGCACUGGUUCUUGAAGAGCUUGUAGGCUCCUGGGGAAGGCUGUGAUUUCAGUCUCUUUCAGAAAAUACCCUUACUCCAUUUAUAUUGUGAAGGAUUGACCCCGACCCAGUCCAUUGGGGCUGCCAUUAACAUUUGCAACCUGAGGCCAAUGCUGGCACAGGAAGCAGAUCUGAGAAAUAAGAAGAAAUGAGCCCCUAAGCAGGUGGCCCACGGCUUCACAAUGUUCUCUUGAAGAUCAUCACUGUUGCAAGUUAAAUCCUUUUGAAGAAUUAAAAGAAAUGCACCGUUCAGAUCAAAAUUUGGUAGCACAAUAUGAAAGUCAUAUGGUAGACCAUUGUGCCGUAGUAGACUGGUAAAACAUCACAGUCUAUAAAGGUCAGAAGACCUGGCAAAGUUCACAAGUCAGAGAGAGGAGAAUCUGGCCAUGAAUUCAUAAUUAAUGACUCAUUGCCUCUUUCAUUUAAAUGAAAUUACCUACAUAGAGGAGCUAAUUCCACAAGCCACACUGCCUUUCUCUUUUCAGUGAGUGAAAAAACAAUCUAGUGGUUAGAUAAACAGAUUCUAGACCCAAACUUGAAAGAACAUCAUUUCCUUCUGUCUCUUAUCUAAAGAUGAAUCAUUGCAUGACCCCUUUCCGAAGUUUAAGAGCCAUUUUAUAGAAAUGGUACAUGAUUAAGCGCCUGGAACUCAACUCACUAGAAAAACCUUUUUACCCUUCUGUUUGGUGGAACGGAAGUAGCACUAGCUAGAAAUAGCUCACACGUUCUGUUUAUUUCAUCUGUAUGAAACCCGUUGUAUUGUUUGUUGUUUCUUGCUCUCUCAUCUAAUAUAUUUGAGUAAAGGGCAGUUUUUUAAAACUUCAUUUGCGUGACACCUGGUUGGCUCAGUCAGCUAAAUGUCUGCCUUAGCUCAGGUCAUGAUCCCAGGGUCC